ACAUCCGGUCCGCCAAAAAAACUGCUUUCCCCGUCAGUCCGCUGUGUUCAUGUCGUGCUCUUCUCUUCGAAAUGUUUAACAAUUCAGCACAAACAAUAAGGAGGAACUCCUCUGCACCUGAGCUGCGAUACACAGACAUAUUAAUGGAUACGUCGACGGCGUAACCAAAAUGGCUACUAACACGAUCAGAAGGAACAGGAACAACUUUCAACAGUGCUAAUAAGUGUUUUAUCCUGACAACAACAUGGUUACUGUACUUCCUGGGAGAACGACCUUGCUUGUGGAUAAUGCUGGACAUGCCUCGUCUUUCAGAACAACUCUACUGAGGCUAGUUGUUCCAGGCUACAUUUGCCGCUACCAGCAUAACAAACUCUAAUACCCAGCUGUACUGCAAGCAUUUGAGCUGAACUGUGAACUGAACUCAAUCAAUUUUGACUUUUUCCCCCCCUCCAAACUGUUCAUUGUGGCUCAUAUGUAAAAGUUGUCCAAUGCAAAAGUUGUGAAGUAGUUGAACAUGUAUGCAGUUGUGGCAUAGCAUUAUGGUCAAUCUAGAAUAUAAUUAACUAUAAUAAUUUGUGUUUGUGUGUGAAUUUGAUCCUUACAUGUUGCAUUUAUGUGGAUUACUUUCUUUUGCCCUAUAUCUAUCUGUUUUACUGCCUUCUUUGAGUGGUGUUAAUGUUUUUGACCCACAUCACAUUGUUUCUCAAAAUAAUAAAAAGAUUGAUUGGUGAAGAUUUUUAUAUGAGAUAUAUUUUAUGGAUUAAUUUAUGCUGAUAUCACUUACAAAUAAAUGAAACAGGUGUCCUUUACCUUCCUGGGACUGACACACAUUAACUCAGAUGGAAAGUUUGUUGAAGAGCCUUCAAAACCAAGUGAUCCUCCUGUUGUCCCUGUCCAUGGUCCUGAAACAACUAGUCCUGAGCAACUGGACAUUUCUUUUUCUCUUUUAGAAACAUUAUCUGUAUUGCAAAAUAAUUAUUUUAAGGGUCACACUAUGAAGUAAUUUGAACAACUUCUAAGGAAAAUAAUUUGCCAGCAUGAUUUUUAUAUAUGCCUACAAUUGCGACACUACUUUCAGAAACAUAAAGAAUGGGGAAAAUAUA